rnacentral:rRNA from 2 species
CUGGCGGCGUGCCUAUAUGCAAGUCCAGCGGACAGAUGGGUAGCUUGCUCCCUGAUGUUAGCGGCGGACGGGUGAGUAACACGUGGGUAACCUGCCUGUAAGACUGGGAUAACUCCGGGAAACCGGGGCUAAUACCGGAUGGUUGUUUGAACCGCAUGGUUCAGACAUAAAAGGUGGCUUCGGCUACCACUUACAGAUGGACCCGCGGCGCAUUAGCUAGUUGGUGAGGUAACGGCUCACCAAGGCGACGAUGCGUAGCCGACCUGAGAGGGUGAUCGGCCACACUGGGACUGAGACACGGCCCAGACUCCUACGGGAGGCAGCAGUAGGGAAUCUUCCGCAAUGGACGAAAGUCUGACGGAGCAACGCCGCGUGAGUGAUGAAGGUUUUCGGAUCGUAAAGCUCUGUUGUUAGGGAAGAACAAGUGCCGUUCAAAUAGGGCGGCACCUUGACGGUACCUAACCAGAAAGCCACGGCUAACUACGUGCCAGCAGCCGCGGUAAUACGUAGGUGGCAAGCGUUGUCCGGAAUUAUUGGGCGUAAAGGGCUCGCACGCGGUUUCUUAAUUCUGAUGUGAAAGCCCCCGGCUCAACCGGGGAGGGUCAUUGAAACUGGGGAACUUGAAUGCAAAAGGAGGAAAUGCCUUCCCCUUGUACGUGAAUUCUAAGGUGUGAAGAACCCCUUGGCCAAGGCCACCCCCGGGUUUUUAACU